AGUGAACGCUGGCGGCGUGCUUAACACAUGCAAGUCGAACGAGAACGGAUUAUAGCUUGCUAUAAUUGUCAGCUAAGUGGCGCACGGGUGAGUAAUAUAUAGAUAACCUGCCCUCUAGAAAGGAAUAACAGUUGGAAACGACUGCUAAUGCCCUAUAUGCCUUUAAUACAUAAGUAUGCAAGGGAAACGCUUUAGUGCUAGAGGAUGGGUCUGUAUGGUAUCAGCUUGUUGGUGAGGUAAUGGCUCACCAAGGCUAUGACGCCUAACUGGUUUGAGAGGAUGAUCAGUCACACUGGAACUGAGACACGGUCCAGACUCCUACGGGAGACAGCAGUGGGGAAUAUUGCACAAUGGACGAAAGUCUGAUGCAGCAACGCCGCGUGGAGGAUGACACAUUUCGGUGCGUAAACUCCUUUUAUAUAGGAAGAUAAUGACGGUACUAUAUGAAUAAGCACCGGCUAACUCCGUGCCAGCAGCCGCGGUAA
rnacentral:rRNA from 1 species